rnacentral:tRNA from 1 species
GGCGGAGGUGGGCAGGGCCACCGAUGUCAAGGGACUUCCGCUUCUUUCGUCGGAGGCCUUUGGCUCACGGGUCCAGUUUUCGAUGGGCCGCUGCGGUUCC